rnacentral:lncRNA from 1 species
GAAACUCUUCAGACUCAUAAUAGUCUUCCUCUAUUCAACAAUAGUCACAUUUAAAAGUUCAACACUAUACUUUUUUUUUACAUCUUAUGUUCUCUAAACCUUAAUCUAUAUAUUUACAUCACUAAAUGAAUGACAAUAAUUAAUCUUUAUACAACGAAUUAAGGUCUAAAGGAUCUCACCUAAUACAAGUUAAAAGCUAAAAGUAGGAAAAAGCCGUGAUUUACAGAAUCUAUUUAAGUGUAUGAACCAUGACAAAUGAAUAAAUAUAUACAAUUUAAAACGGAAAAGAGAUUGAAUUAGUGUGGAAAAACAAGCCACUAUCGGUAUUAAAAAA